rnacentral:rRNA from 1 species
UACGUAGGACCCAAGCGUUAUCCGGAAUUACUGGGCGUAAAGAGUUGCGUAGGUGGCAUGUUAAGCGGGUAGUGAAAUCGUGUGGCUCAACCAUACAAACAUUAUCUGAACUGGCAAGCUAGAGUGCUAUAGAGGUUACUGGAAUUUCUAGUGUAGGAGUGAAAUCCGUAGAUAUUAGAAGGAACACCGAUGGCGUAGGCAGGUAACUGGAUAGCAACUGACACUGAGGCACGAAAGCGUGGGGAGCAAACGGG